UUGAACCAAAAGGAAUUCCACAAAGCAUUUGAGAGGAGGAGAUUAUCUGAUCAUCAGAUAUCAAGCAAGCAAGCAGAAAACAUGGUGAAGAGCACUUCAACAAAAUCCGUUCUCCUAGUUUUCGUAUUCGCCAUGGCCAUAGCUUUGUCCUUGUCAAAGAUGGAAGCCGCUGAGAUGGACAUGUUGGUCAGUGCAACCGCAAGAAAGAUUUUGUAAAUCAACCUCCCCGAGUGUUAUUUCUAGCCUUGCAAAAACGUUACAGAAUGCAAAUCACCAUGUAACCUUUGUGUUACAGGUGUUUGUGCAGGAGGUUGAAUGGAGAAUGAAGACUAUCAUCCUUCGCAUAUUAGCAUUUGCAUAUGAAUUUGCACUUUCCUGGUUUGUAAUGAAUAACAUUGGACUGCCUCUCUCCAGAAACUGUUAGUGUUGUAUCAUGGUGUGCUGUGUUGGAUUUCCAAAAUGUGUUUGGGUUCAUCUACAGGAAUAAAAUUCGCUAUUGGCAAAUAGUCUAGCUAUUAAAUAAAUUUUCCCCUUCUUUGCUGA